UACCAGCACCCCGAGUGGUCGGGACGUUUAUUGGGCCUAAAGCAUCCGUAGCCGGUUCUACAAGUCUUCCGUUAAAUCCACCUGCUUAACAGAUGGGCUGCGGAAGAUACUAUAGAGCUAGGAGGCGGGAGAGGCAAGCGGUACUCGAUGGGUAGGGGUAAAAUCCGUUGAUCCAUUGAAGACCACCAGUGGCGAAGGCGGCUCACUGGCUCGGUACUGACGCUGAGGUGCGAAAGCGUGGGGAGCAAACAGG
rnacentral:rRNA from 1 species